GCUUCAUCCAUUCGAUUUCAAUUUCGUGACGCUGCUCACACCUAUCACCGUAAAUCCGAAACCCAUCAUGCCUACCUCGAUUGGCAGAACAGCGGGUAUAUGCACAUCAAAUCUAGCCACCUAGCCAGUCCCAGGAACAAAUUCACACAGGAGACAGCAACCUUGUUGGUGUCAAGACAUUCAGAACAGGAAUCAAUCUAGCCACCUAGCCAGUUUCAGGAACAAAUUCACACAGGAGACAGCAACCUUGUUGGUGUCAAGACAUUCAGGACAAGAAUCCUUCCUCAAAGGAUGCACAUAAUAGCACGCUGCUAAUAAAUUAGCCACAUCCAAGAGCAAAUGCCAGUUCAUAGACCUAAGCAACAGGGUAAUGAUGGCCACAACGCUAGAAAGCACACUAAUAAUACUGUAAUACAUAUACGUCAUCUACACUCCAUGGUUGUUCCUAGACCUGACAAGAACACACCUCAACAAGCAACCGUUACACAUGGUUCUUCCUAGACCUGACAAGAACACACCUCAACAAGCAACCAUUACACAUGGUUCUUCCUAGACCUGACAAGAACACACCUCAACAAGCAACCGUUACACAUGGUUCUUCCUAGACCUGACAAGAACACCCUCAACAAGCAACCGAUACACGCUUAAUUUACACAUGGAAAUGGAAUUUAUCAUGGAUAGAGUUACCCUUGUCUCUGUUAGCUAAGCACUCAGGACCACCUUUGGUUUUAUUAUGGCAUCCCUUCUCCUUCCUGUCAGGAUCCUCUUGAGCAAGUUGGGGUUCCCCUUCUGCUUGCUUGGGACAACGGCUAGUGAUACGGCCUUGGCAGCAGCUUCUUUCUUGCAGCUUCCGCUCACAUCGUAAGGUUUGGCGGGUGGAACCACUGGUGUUGGGUGAGAAUAAUACGAUACUGAAUCGUCACCUCCCUCGUCGACAGAAAAUUUUCUUUCAUGUGGUGGCCUUAUUUCUGAGCAUAUAAUCUCCUUGGUUUUCGGGGAGCUGAGGUCAUCAAAUCCUCCAUCGUCAACGGCUAGCAUCUCAUUCAGUGACUGAGACCGAGGUUUUCGCUCUGGACGGACCGAGGUGGCAUCCUUUGGCGAUGCAAGUGCUUUUAGUUGCUUUCCCAGGCUUAGGAUUGUCUCCUGACACUCAAUGAGCUUCUCUGAUGCUGUCGAGAUCUCCAGCUGCUGUGUGAACAAGGGGAUUAAAUGUUAACUUUAAAAACUUAUUUACUGGUAAACUGUCCAAACCAAGGUAAGAACUCAUGGACUAAAGAGCCAUUCGAAGAAGGGUGUACUCAAGAAACCAGCAAAUUGAUUGAAUGGAUCUGAGAACAUGUUCAAUUCUUUCCAGUGGUCUCGCAACAAGGGCAGUCAA
rnacentral:lncRNA from 1 species